UACGAAGGGUGCAAGCGUUAAUCGGAAUUACUGGGCGUAAAGCGCGCGUAGGUGGUUCGUUAAGUUGGAUGUGAAAGCCCCGGGCUCAACCUGGGAACUGCAUCCAAAACUGGCGAGCUAGAGUAUGGCAGAGGGUGGUGGAAUUUCCUGUGUAGCGGUGAAAUGCGUAGAUAUAGGAAGGAACACCAGUGGCGAAGGCGACCACCUGGGCUAAUACUGACACUGAGGUGCGAAAGCGUGGGGAGCAAACAGGAUUAGAUACCCCCGUAGUCCC
rnacentral:rRNA from 1 species